GGGAGGGGCGUGGCCUAGGUCGGUGGGCGGGGCCUCAGUCUUGACGGAGCUAGGGGUCCAUGAGCACCCGGAGCCGCAGAGGCAGGACAAAAGUUGUGAGUAUCCAAAGCUCGGGCAGCUGGCAGCAGUGGAGCCGCCGGGGCGACGACCACCAUGCGGAGACCGGCGCGACCUUUUGAGACGCAGCUGGACCCGCCCAGUUCGGCGCCCGGGUCAUUCCAGGGUCUGGGGCAGCGGCGGGGGCCGCGGGCGGAUGGCGUGAACCCAACCGCUGCAGGAUGCCCUCCAAACACAGGGCCCCGGGGCUGUGCGCUGCUGAGCCGAGCCAUAGAAGACCAAGAAGGCCACUGACAUCAUAGACAGAUUGCUCUUACUGUGAACUCUCUUCCUGUGACAUGUCACAUCCUCAGAGCAGAGGUCGCCCUCCUGGAAGAAACCAAUGUUUUGUGAGGCAUUCAAAUUCACAAUCCAGAGUUCUUUCUAUGAAGGAAGAAGAGAUGAGGGAGAGAGAGAGUAAAGAUGCCCAUGCAGCCUCAGGUCCUAAGAGCAUCAUCCAACAAGAUGAACAGGAUCCGCCCCUCCAACGCCUUCCUGGGACAGUCCAGCAGGACAGCAGGUGUGUGAGGUGCCUGCAUCAGUAACACCUUUCAUGUAACUGAACCAAGUUCACUUGCCUGACAUGCAGCAAGCCAAGGGCUGAGACACCCAUGUGUUGCAGCAGAGAGAAGGUUUAUUCACAAGGCAUUCACGCAAGGAGGCAGAUCACAAAUUCGCAUCCCAGAAGGUGAGAGGCUCGGGAUAUUUACGGGGAUAAAGAAGCAGGGUGGUCUGAGGCCCAGGGAAUGUGUGCAAAGGUGACUGGAGGUAAGAAAAAGGUCAAGUAGGGAGUUCCUGUUGUGGCUCAGUGCAUCAGGAACUCAACAUAGGGUCCACGAGGAUAUGGGUUUGAUCCCUGGAUUUGAUCCUUGUGGGUUAAGGAUCUGGCAUUGCCAUAAGCUCUGCUGUAGCCUGCAGAUGUAGCUCGGAUCUGGUGUGUUGCCAAGGCUGUGAUGUAGGCCUCAGCUGCAGCUCCGAUUUGACCCCUAGCCUGGGAACCUCCAUAUGCUGCAGGUGUGGCAUAAAGAGAAGGAAAAAAAAAGAAGACAAGAAAAAAAAAGGUAAAGCAAUAGUUUUUCCGUGAAGUCACAACUAAGCUACAGGCUUCUUCAUGGGAGGCAUGUUCAGAAGAUGAGGGCCUAAUCAUGCUCAGAGGAGGGGUUGUGGGUCUCUAAAGUCCAAAGAUCACUGAGGGACAGAGCUGCCUUUAAGUUCUUGAAAAAUAAUUGGGGCGAACUUCUUGUCAUUUAGGAUAAUGGAUGCUUGGAGGACAUGCAAGUUUUUGUGAAAACAAAGCGAGCUUGAUCAGUGAAGGCAGGUUACAACUCAUUAUUUAUUGAGCAAGUUAUUAAGAUUUAAUGGGAGUUCCCCUAGUGGCUCAGUGGUAAUGAACCCAACUAGUAUCCAUGAGGACUCGGGUUCAAUCCCUGGCUUGCUCAGUGGAUUAAGGAUCCAGCAUUGCCAUGAGCUGUGGUGUAGGUUAUAGGCAUGGCUUAGAUCUGGUGUUUCUGUGGCUGUGGCUACAGCUCUGAUUUGAC
rnacentral:lncRNA from 1 species